rnacentral:rRNA from 1 species
GGCUAGAGUGCAGUAGGGGAGACUGGAAUUACCGGUGUAACGGUGGAAUGUGUAGAUAUUGGGAAGAACACCAAUGGCGAAGGCAGGUCUCUGGGCUGUUACUGACGCUGAGAAGCGAAAGCGUGGGGAGCGAACAGGAUUAGAUACCCUGGUAGUCCACGCCGUAAACGGUGGACGCUGGAUGUGGGGCCCAUUCCUCGG